rnacentral:rRNA from 1 species
CGGGUGAGUGUACCUUUCGAAUAAGCACCGGCUAACUACGUGCCAGCAGCCGCGGUAAUACGUAGGGUGCAAGCGUUAUCCGGAAUUAUUGGGCGUAAAGGGCUCGUAGGCGGUUCGUCGCGUCCGGUGUGAAAGUCCAUCGCUUAACGGUGGAUCUGCGCCGGGUACGGGCGGGCUGGAGUGCGGUAGGGGAGACUGGAAUUCCCGGUGUAACGGUGGAAUGUGUAGAUAUCGGGAAGAACACCGAUGGCGAAGGCAGGUCUCUGGGCCGUUACUGACGCUGAGGAGCGAAAGCGUGGGGAGCGAACAGGAUUAGAUACCCUGGUAGUCCACGCCGUAAACGGUGGAUGCUGGAUGUGGGGCCCGUUCCACGGGUUCCGUGUCGGAGCUAACGCGUUAAGCAUCCCGCCUGGGGAGUACGGCCGCAAGGCUAAAACUCAAAGAAAUUGACGGGGGCCCGCACAAGCGGCGGAGCAUGCGGAUUAAUUCGAUGCAACGCGAAGAACCUUACCUGGGCUUGACAUGUUCCCGACAGCCGUAGAGAUAUGGCCUCCCUUCGGGGCGGGUUCACAGGUGGUGCAUGGUCGUCGUCAGCUCGUGUCGUGAGAUGUUGGGUUAAGUCCCGCAACGAGCGCAACCCUCGCCCUGUGUUGCCAGCACGUCAUGGUGGGAACUCACGGGGGACCGCCGGGGUCAACUCGGAGGAAGGUGGGGAUGACGUCAGAUCAUCAUGCCCCUUACGUCCAGGGCUUCACGCAUGCUACAAUGGCCGGUACAACGGGAUGCGACACGGCGACGUGGAGCGGAUCCCUGAAAACCGGUCUCAGUUCGGAUUGGAGUCUGCAACCCGACUCCAUGAAGGCGGAGUCGCUAGUAAUCGCGGAUCAGCAACGCCGCGGUGAAUGCGUUCCCGGGCCUUGUACACACCGCCCGUCAAGUCAUGAAAGUGGGUAGCACCCGAAGCCGGUGGCCUAACCCUUUGUGGAUGGAGCCGUCUAAGGUGAGACUCGUGAUUGGGACUAAGUCGUAACAAGGUAGCCGUACCGGAAGGUGCGGCUG